CUACGGGCGGCUGCAGUGGGGAAUAUUGCACAAUGGGCGCAAGCCUGAUGCAGCCAUGCCGCGUGUGUGAAGAAGGCCUUCGGGUUGUAAAGCACUUUCAGCGGGGAGGAAGGCGGUGAGGUUAAUAACCUCAUCGAUUGACGUUACCCGCAGAAGAAGCACCGGCUAACUCCGUGCCAGCAGCCGCGGUAAUACGAAGGGUGCAAGCGUUAAUCGGAAUUACUGGGCGUAAAGCGCACGCAGGCGGUCUGUCAAGUCGGAUGUGAAAUCCCCGGGCUCAACCUGGGAACUGCAUUCGAAACUGGCAGGCUAGAGUCUUGUAGAGGGGGGUAGAAUUCCAGGUGUAGCGGUGAAAUGCGUAGAGAUCUGGAGGAAUACCGGUGGCGAAGGCGGCCCCCUGGACAAAGACUGACGCUCAGGUGCGAAAACGUGGGGAGCAAACAGGAUUAGAUACCCUGGUAGUC
rnacentral:rRNA from 1 species